AAGUGUUUUGGGACCAUGUGGGGCAUUUAUAAAAGAUGGAGCAAGUGAUUCUCACUGUCACACCGCUCGAAAAUGGAAAUACCGGUUAUUCUUUUAUCAGACAAGGCUUAAACGUGUCUGCGGGGUUCCACUAUGAGACUCCUAUGGGCUAUUAUGGGACUUACUGGCGCUGUAACAGGUGACGAACACGGGAGAACAAUUAAAACUGUCGGCCAUCACAGAGCAACAGAUGGAGGUGCACAACAGGAUAUUACCACUAAGAGGAUUCCUCUUUCUUUGCCUGUCACUCUAGACUUUUUCUUGUGGGGAAAGACUCUUUCAUCGUGACCCAGCUCGACUGGCUUACUGGAACUGGUGUAGAGUUGUUGGUUAAGCCUUCUGAAACCCGCCACUACUCAUGUUGACCUGCUUGGCAAACAGAAAUCCCUGAUCAAGUCAGCUGUGAAUAACAUUAAAAUGAGUAACCAGGUGGGAUUAGAAAGUCCUGGUAUUGUCUUGAGUGUCUCAACUCUGACCUUUCACUCCGAACUCUUAAGGUUCAGCCUCAAUCUGAUAGAAAACAGCUCCUGAUCUCUGACUGUCUCUCUUCGCUCCAUCACUGCCCCGUUGUUGGCGAUUUCAUGAGUGAGCUGGUAAUAAGCACGGGUGACUGGAUCCUCACCUUUUUUGCUGAGAUCUAUAAGUGAAGGCGCAGUUACGCUGGUGAGGCCUUCGGUGGCCAUAUGGGAAUGUUUGAGGUCUGAAGUCAGAGGAAUUUCUGCAUCUGCUUCUUAUUGCUUUAUCUGCUUCUCAUGUGCUUCCAACUUGAGGAAAUAACAGGUUACAUUAGGCCGAAUUGCUGUAAUUAUUUAAAAUAUUAUAGCACAAAUGUUUUGGUGAUGUUUGCUAGUUCUUUUUGAAACAUACUGGAAAGAGAGGCUAUUUAAAUGGUGAGACUGUGAAUACAAAUAUAAUUUCACACAUGUUGAAAUAUUUAAGAAAAGUACUUACAGGUGUUUUAAUAAAAUUAUUCAGUGUCUGACUGAAACGUGACAUCACUUCCGUAUUUGUUUUCUUUCCUAAAGGCAAAGUAAUUAAACAUAUUGAGUGACUUGUGCAGCUCCAGUGGGAAUAUAA